CUGUCUUCACCAGCAUUAAGUUGUUAGAAUGAAAUAAACAAACAAGAAAAUGUGUACAGAAUCAACAAUUAAAGAGAAAACGCGCAACAUAAUGACAUGCAAUAACAACUUAUAUAAAUAACAUCUCUCUAAGAACUAAUUUAAACACCCAGUUGUCACAUAUUGGCCGCUAAAAGAAGAGUGCAUCUUCGACAACAUCUAGAACCACAUAAUAACCUAUAUAUCCAUAUAUUCCUCUCUACCAUUUUCUAGCCAAAAAAGCAACCUUUGACCUUAUCAAUUGCUUCUUUAUCAAUUUUUCCCAUAUUUAAAAAUCAAGUAAGGUUGAAACCAUUGCAAUUUACUUUGUAUAAUUCAAACUCAAAAGUGUCUAAUUUCUAUGAAACACUCACGUACUCAACAUUCUAAUUUGGAAGCGAUGGAAUUACGGAUUCUGAGACCACUUUAAAUAUGACAGGCGCAAGAGAGUUGGAGUUGAGACGUAAACAAGAAGCAACCCUCCAUUAUUUUUCUUGGUUUAUUCUCGGUUUGUUCAUUAUGUUAGGUUUUAUUCCCAUGUCGCUUUAUCAAAACUUUUUGUUUGUCGUACAUUUAAAAUUCUUGUACAAAUUUUACAAAACACCAUAUUUGUUCAUAUCAUCGACAUCUCUACUUUGCAGGCGUAUCAAAGUAUUGUUGGAAAUUCUAUAGCAUACAAUCACAAAUUAGUUCAUUUGUGAACUUUGAAAAAUAACAUACAUAUAAUAAAUUGCAUAACUGUUCUAGAUGCCAAUCUCAUUAUCGUUUUUUAAAUUAUUGGUCAAAUAUCUUAAAAGAAUUUUCAACACAUCUUAACAAGUUUCAGCACGAUAAUCAUUUGUCAAAAGAAAAGUUAAUAAUGUAUUUCUUGAAAAUCUGAGCAAUUAUGGCAAUGAAUGCAAUUUGACCAAAAAUAGUAAACUGAAUGCUUUUUAAAAUGUUCCAAAAAACUUCAGAAACUGUUUCAAAGUCGAUUACUUUUAUAAAAUUAAAAUUCAACAAAAAAAGCUUCACUUAAAGUCCAAAACAUAUGACUUGUCAUGCAUUUAUCCAAAAACAAUUAAAUGAAUUCAUCUAUUACUCAUCAAAAUAUUUUGUUAAUUUUUCUUCAUUAUUUGUAAGUUCAAGCUGAUUUUGAAAAAAUGAGUUUAUUAUAAAACACUUGACAAGAAAAACAAAUCUUUGAGUAAAAUAUAAAAGCUGAUUUUGAAAACAUUAAUUGAUAACAGAAGAAACAAAUCUUUGAGUAAAAUAUAAAAGCUGAUUUUGAAAACAUUAAUUGAUAACAGAAGAACAGUUGACAAGGAAACCAAUUUCCAGUAAUAUUAAAGGUUCUUCAAACACAAAUUUAAGUUAGCAAAACACUGUGUUCCUCAAAAAACCAUUUAUGGACUCAUGAAAUUAUAUAGUACUCACAAAAUAUUUACCAAGUCCUCUUGAGAAACAGAUUUUAAAUUGGCAUCUAGACAAUAGUUAGGCAUUUUAGUAUAGCAUUUAAUUUUCAAAGUUCACAAAUAAAAUAAUUCAUGAUCGAAUGAUAUAGAUUUUUCAACGCAUUUUUCUAUGAUACGCCUGCAAAAACAAGAGGUUAAUAACAUGAACCAACAUGAAUUUUGUAAAUUCAUACAAGAAUGUCAAAUGUAUUACGAACAAAAAGUUUUAAGGCAAGCGCAUGAAAAGAGAACCCAACACAAUAAAUGCACCAAGAAUAAAUUUAAAAAAAAAGAGGAGGGUUUAUUCUCCAAUUUAGGUCUCAACUAUAACCUCGCACCCUUCACAUUUUGAGCAGUCUCAAAACCCAUAAUUAUUUUCUUUCCAAACGAGAAUGGUGAUUCUGUGACUUUUCAAAGAAAUUAGAGCAAUACAAUUGGGUUUGAAUUAUACAAAGUGUAAAAUCAAUGGUUCAACCACCUUGAUUUCAAAAUAUGGAAGAAAAAUUGACUUAGAAGAAUUAAUAGGGGCACUGGUUACUUUUGAGUUAGAAACUAGAAUAGAGGAAUAUGAAGAUAGGUAGGCUACCAUUAGGUUCUAAAAUGUCGUCAAAUAGCAUACUUUAGCAGCCAACAUAUGUUUUAACUGAGCAUUUAAAUCCUACUUAACCUUUUGAUUCCCGCACAAUCUUUAUCGAUAUGAGGUUAUCUACUUCGCACAGAAUUGGCAAAUCAAAUUCAAACUCUGGCCCUCGCUCUUGUAAAAGACAAGUAUGAAUCACACAUACCAACUGACAUGCUUCACUUGUAGAAUCAAAUAAAUGCAUAUCAUACAUAUUACUGAAAAAUUAUUUAUGACCAGUAACAAUAAAACUCGCAUAAUAAAAGAAUUCGUACUAGAUUACCAGUAACAACAGUACUUCUCAAAGAGAUUAUAAAUAGUAUGACAUCUAUUCUUUGCAUUAAGAUAGAAUCAUGAAGGCACAAAAGAAAACAACACAGAUACAUAAUUGCGACAUGCUCUAAUUUAAAGGCAUAAAAUAGAUACCGCAUAAACAAGAUACUUUUCUAUAUGGCACUUGAGAGAAAAUAUUCUGUCUGUCCAUUAAUUGGUCU